GGUAUUCUGAAUGUGUGUCAGGACUCUGUAAGCAGUUUUAAACUAUUAAUAUCUGAGCUCCUCUCUAACCAGCAGCGACAGGCCCAUUUAGAUAACUGCAUUUAUGAUUAGUAAGACACUGAAUAAUUGCUGUACAUCAGAAAUAUAACUUGUAAACCGAAUUCAGAUAACUUUCUAAGUUCUGUCUUGAGUUGUAUUUAACGAACAUCUCCUGGAAUGAGUUUAGUAAAGUGUUGAAUUAAUGCAGAGUUCAGCCAGCAGGUUUCCCCACCAAGUACAAGCGUAUUGCAGGGAUUUGCUAUGCUGUGCAUAGUGUUUAAACAGUUUGCUUAGUUAGCUUUUUAUUUCUGCACAACUAGAGUUGUUCAGUGUGUCUAUAAAUAGUUUGACAUGUAAUGGCUCAAUGAAACUUGACGUCUCCACAGUAGGACUAGCGAAGCCUUAAAGCUGCACUGGUCUACAUUUUUUUCUUUUGUUAACAAUGGAUCAAAUGACUGUUUCAGAAUCUUUCAGCUCAUUGUUUUAGUUUUAUGGCCCACAACUUUAUUGUUUUGGUUCACUCUCACAGCUCUCAUCAACCUCUAUUUCUACCAGAAACCUCUUCCAUGUGUACGCUCCCUGCCCAACACCAAACAACAGACAUAGUUAGCAAAAAUCUUGUGAACGUAGAGGAGCAAUUAGCAGCUGAAGAGCCAAAAACUGUAUAUCUCUCAGGAUUUGUUUAAUACCAAUACAUCAGGUGUCCAGAAACAAGGAUCCAUAUGGAUGCUAAUGUCUGCUGGACAUAUAAAUUGGCAACUGAAAAAUAAGUUACUGUAGCGUUAAAGAGAAGGGCCAGCUGUUAACUGUACAGCACAUCCCAUAUGUUUUGGGAGACUCCCUCAUAAUUAGAUAAACUAUGUUAAUUAGUCCCCGUCUGAGAAAACCCACACAAACACAGAAAGAACCAUGAGCUGCUAUGAGAUGACAAUGCUAACAGUGUAGCUGUUACUGAUCGGUAGUCUUGCAAAAGCCAUCUGGUGUUUUUGCUGGAUUUAUUUACUUUACCUUUUAAUCCAAUAUGAUUAUUUGUAUAACUAUUUAGGAAUGUACAAAUGGUUUUGCAUGUUUAAGCACAGUAGCUACAUAUCAUGCACUAAUUACAUGAUAAUAAAUUGCACAUACUUUACAUUGUUGACCAUUUUCCAAAGCAAAUCGUCAGUGUUUGGAUUAGUUUCCUUUAGUCCUGUCAGCCAGGGCUCAGUUCAUCCAUCUCAACUGAUUAGACUUUAUUGGUGAUCCGGCUCUGCCAUUUCCUCCAUCAGAAGCUUAAAGUGACAGGGAUGAGGUUUGUGCUCUGAGUGCUUUCUGGUCUUUGUUUUUCUCUCCAAAUGUAAAUGAUGCUGCCACCUGAAGUUCUCACCAAUGGAUGAUAAAGAAGUACUUGUAAUGUCUGUCACCACAAAAACAUAGAGGGUAUGUGUCUGUCUUUAGCCCCCCCCAACUCUCCCUGUACAUGUUCCCCUCCCACUCUCCCUCCUCUCCCUCUCCCUCUCUCUCUCUCUGUGAAUGCCACAGGCCUCUCACCCCUCAGUCCAGAUUUAGAUCUCAGUCUUUCCCAGACAUUCAGACCCAGCUCGCUGAAGCUGGCCGGUAGCGCACAGAUUCCCUUGCCUCCAUCGUUCUUUGCAUCCAGUACCUCCUUCUUUCCUUCCUCUUCACCAUGACUGGACUCUUUUAUCACUUCUUUAUCUGACAUGGGAGCAGAGCCUGCCAGAUGUCUGAGUUGGACAGCGGGUCGAGGGUUGUAGUCCAGGAUUUUUCUAGUCGGUCUGGUUCCACAGAGGCAGACCUCCUGCUCCUCUUCCCCAGCCAUGGAGCCACAUGCAGAGGUCCCGUUAUUUGAGAUGGACCAGGAAGAGGAUGAGAAAGAGGAUGUUCUCUCAAUGAAGAGCAGAGCAGGCACAGACCCUGACACGUUCAUAUACAUGAACUUCAUGAAGAGUCACUGUUGCUAUGAUGCCAUCCCUACCAGCUCCAAACUGGUCAUUUUUGACACAACACUACAAGUGAAGAAGGCUUUCUUUGCUCUGGUGGCUAACGGUGUGAGGGCAGCGCCACUGUGGGACAACAAGCUUAAGUGUUUUGUGGGUAUGCUGACCAUCACUGACUUCAUCAACAUUCUCCAUCGUUAUUACAAGUCUCCUCUGGUUCAGAUCUAUGAGCUGGAAGAACACAAGAUAGAGACAUGGAGAGAGAUCUAUCUACAGUACUCUAUCAACAGACUGAUCAGCAUCACCCCUGACUGCAGUCUGUUUGAUGCCAUCUACUCCUUGUUGAAGAAUAAGAUACACCGGCUGCCAGUCAUUGACCCGGCAUCAGGAAAUGUCCUCCACAUCCUCACUCACAAACGCAUCCUCAAGUUCCUCCACAUCUUUGGAUCUAUGAUUCCUAAACCCAGGUUUCUUCAAAAGCGGAUCAGUGAAGUGGCGAUCGGUACCUUCAAACAGAUUGCGACAGUCCAGGAAUCAGCCUCUGUCUAUGAUGCUCUGACAAUUUUUGUAGAGAGAAGAGUGUCUGCGCUGCCUGUAGUCAAUGAGCAAGGUAAAGUCGUGGCGCUGUACUCCAGGUUUGAUGUCAUUAACCUUGCAGCCCAGAAAAUCUACAACAACCUGAACAUGACAAUGCAGGAGGCCAUUGCCUCCAGAGCCUGCUGUGUGGAGGGAGUUCUCAAGUGUUACCCUCACGAAACACUGGAGACCAUCAUCGACCGCAUCGCAAAGGCUGAAGUGCAUCGUUUGGUGUUGGUUGACAGGGACGAUGUGGUGAGAGGGAUUGUCUCUCUCUCUGACCUUCUACAAGCCCUGGUUCUCACUCCUGCAGGUAUUGAUGCACUGUACUCCUAACUCCAACCCUUCCAUUCAUCCCUUACUCUUUCUGUCAGUCGCCCGGUAAUCCAUCCGUCAACUUAUCUGCCUUCAAAUCCUCGAAAGCUUCCUGCUGCUUCUGGCGAGCUAUGCUCCUUCUCCUCCUGUGAACGCUCACGUUCCUACUGACCAAACUUUAUCUUCAACUUUUCAUCUUCCUGAAGAAAAUGAGGGUCUUUCUUCUCUUCCUGUGAUAUUUUCUGGUAUCAGAGUUCCAACUCUGCUAAUUUCCUCCCUCUCUGAAAUCUUCUUAGCCUUUCAGCUGCCCACCUUGUACUCCAACCAAGAAUAAUUUUUAACAAACAACACCCUUCAGGGAUUCAUCUGAAGCCCCCUUGCUCCUUAAAGAUCAACCUCUGAAAUAUUCUCUUAGACCUUGCUGUGAUCAACUAACCACCUCCUCUAAAAUCUUCUGCUCCUUCAAAAUCAGCCAACCACGUCUUCCGGAACCUCAUGCUCCUACCAACGACCUUACAUUUCCUCUAUAACUUUAAUUUGAAGCAUCAAACAAAAUGUUCCCAGAGCCUGCUCUGAUACAUCCUGCCCCUGCAAAACAAACAAAAGCCCUCUCGAAACCCGCAGCCCAGCCAAAAUCAACAAGGCACCUUUUGCUUUCACUAUUGAGUAAUAAAUCUUCCAAUCCAACUUCAAAACCAGUUCAGUCACCUGUGAUCCUACCUACCAACCAAGCAGUUUCUACAGUUUCUACACCAACCCUCCACACCUUCUCCCAAACAUCCCUCUUUCAUCAGUCAGCCACCGUCUUCAUGUUGCAGUUCCUCCUCUGAAACCACCAUGCCACCGGCACCUCUUAGCCAACACGCCCCAGAUAUUUAUGAGGAAUCGUGCUGUCAAGACUGAAGAAAACAGGAUCGAGACUGAUCACGUUAAACAAGACUAUGAGGUGGCAGAGUAAAUUAGAGGUCAGCAGAGCAGGGUUGUGGCUGAGAAGUCACUAGUUUCAAUCCCAGUCGAGAAGAAAAAAUAUGAUAUGGAAAGAAUAAAGUAAAAGUGGAAACACUUUUACCAAUAAUGUGCCCUUCAAUAGAAGACUGUGGCUGUGCUGGGAAACUGACAGUAUUGAACUGGAAAACAGCAUCGAACCGAUGAUGCACAUCCAGAGACUUUUAAACUGAUUAUGACUAAAGCAUCAAAUUUGAGGUUAUUUUCCAAUCUGUGUGGAAAUUGAGUUGUUGACACCACCAUGAUUUAAAAAAAAAGUGAUGUUAUGUUUAAUGGUUUAUGUGAAGGAAUUUUCUUUAGAGGACCCUAAUGUGGGUUUCAGGUGAGGUUGAGGUCACACACAUGUCAUGCUUGGGGUCACUUGCAAACCUAGAAAUGAAACGACCUCUGUGUCUCUAACAUUAGUUAAUUUUGCUGUCUCCUGCAGUAGACCCAUAACGACAGUGGUGUAGAUAGAAGAUCUGUUGCUUAGACACUCAAAGACAGUUGAUUGCAUUCUCUGUCUCAGGCGUAGAUGUAACAGACUGUCUCCUCUUAAAAUGUAAUACAUGUGACCUCCUAAUUCCAACUUGACUUAGGUAAGCAUUUAGUCUGGAAAUGGAUAACCUUGUAGGAGAACAAGGUUAGUAAAGGAUAAAUAUUGUGGAUUAGGAAGAGAAACUUCAGACUUUGUUUUGGCACUGCACUGGGUUUCACCUUGUACUGCUGAUAUCAUUGUCUCCUCAGCCAAAGCUCAUUAAACAUUGCUAUGUAAGACA